UGAGUAACACGUGGAUAACCUGCCUCAAGGCUGGGGAUAACAUUUGGAAACAGAUGCUAAUACCGAAUAAAACUUAGUAUCGCAUGAUACAAAGUUGAAAGGCGCUACGGCGUCACCUAGAGAUGGGUCCGCGGUGCAUUAGUUAGUUGGUGGGGUAAAGGCCUACCAAGACAAUGAUGCAUAGCCGAGUUGAGAGACUGAUCGGCCACAUUGGGACUGAGACACGGCCCAAACUCCUACGGGAGGCUGCAGUAGGGAAUCUUCCACAAUGGGCGAAAGCCUGAUGGAGCAACGCCGCGUGUGUGAUGAAGGCUUUAGGGUCGUAAAGCACUGUUGUAUGGGAAGAAAUGCUAGAAUAGGGAAUGAUUCUAGUUCGACGGUACCAUACCAGAAAGGGACGGCUAAAUACGUGCCAGCAGCCGCGGUAAUACGUAUGUCCCGAGCGUUAUCCGGAUUUAUUGGGCGUAAAGCGAGCGCAGACGGUUGAUUAAGUCUGAUGUGAAAGCCCGGAGCUCAACUCCGGAAUGGCAUUGGAAACUGGUUAACUUGAGUGUUGUAGAGGUAAGUGGAACUCCAUGUGUAGCGGUGGAAUGCGUAGAUAUAUGGAAGAACACCAGUGGCGAAGGCGGCUUACUGGACAACAACUGACGUUGAGGCUCGAAAGUGUGGGUAGCAAACAGGAUUAGAUAC
rnacentral:rRNA from 1 species